AAUAUCACAUCUAAGGUUUUAUCGCAUGAUGCCGUUUAUAUCGUCAUCGAGAAGAGACGAAAAGGAUCGUCUCAUCGCAUGGAUAUGACACACAAUCUCACAUUGGCCAUAGAAAUUCCAUUUGCUAGGUGACUCACAAAUACCUAUCCAUGUCUGAACUAUAUUUCAAACACUAUAUGUGCAGGUUCACCAUACUCCCUGAACUUCAGCCACACACACACCCUCU
rnacentral:lncRNA from 1 species